rnacentral:rRNA from 1 species
GGAUCAAUAUGUUGGUCGUGCCUUGGUACGUACUAGCUUAUUGAUUUCUUCCUUCUGAUGAACCAUGAUGUCAUUAAUUUGGUGUCAUGGGGAAUCAGGACUGUUACUUUGAAAAAUUAGAGUGUUUAAAGCAGGCUAACGCUUGAAUACAUUAGCAUGGAAUAAUGAAAUAGGACGUUUGAUUCUAUUUUGUUGGUUCUAGGAUCGACGUAAUGAUUAAUA